rnacentral:piRNA from 1 species
UCCAGGUGAAGUCCCUCCUGGGACAGUGAC